rnacentral:snRNA from 1 species
GGAUGUGAGGGUGACCUGGCUUGACAACAUCUGUCACCCCAGUGACCACCAGGGUUGAUUCGGCUGAUCUGGCUGGUGAGGCGGGUGUUCCCUUCCCCAGUCAUGGCUCCACAUGUGUCCCUCCCAAAGCUGCGCAUGCUCUGUGGAAGGGACAACCUUCCCUGAUAGAGGGUGACCAUUUCCUCAGUCCAAGGUAUACAAGCAGCUGCCCUCCUUGGCUAGAACCUCCAAGGAAGUUCUCAAAAUAAAAACUAACAAAGGGCUGGGGAUGUAGCUCAGUGCAAAGAUCCUGGGUUCACCCA